GUGUCGGUGCGAACAUAGUAUUAUACCUCUCAGAGCAGUUUAUAUUGUCACCAGAAAAUAUGUAUAUGUAAAUUUAUUAUUCCGUUAUUGGUCGUGUUUUAUUUUAUAAAUUAAUUCAAAGUUUAUUUCAUAAAAAUGGACUGUACAAAACCAAGGUAUCCUAUUUAAAACCAGCAAAAUAGGCGUCCUCAAUAGUUUUCCAGACAUUCUCUCAACACACAAGGCUGCAAUACAAGAGCGCAAAAAAUGCGAACGUUUAACCUCUGAGCAAAAGAUGAGCAAUGCACAAAUGACCGAUAUGAAUAAUCGCACCAAUGUUAUUUCCUAUUCUGUAAUGGCUGUAAUGUCGCAUUUUAAAGAAGAAUGUGAUACAUAUAUGAAACAGGCGCUUAAAUCAUUUAUAGAAGAGCAAAUUAAGUUCUAUUCAAAUGCCGUUAAUGUUGCAGCCAGGAGGAAUAUAAAUUUCAAUCAGGGAAAUGUUUAGUGAUCUUUCAACAGCAAAUACUACAUUUGAAGUCCAAAUCGGGGCAACAAAACGAUGAAACGUACGAAUAACUUAUUAGCUUUAUCAAGUUAAAUUUUGUUCAUAUUGCAACGGAUUUCUCGAUAAAUCGUCUACCUUGUAACUCACUCUUGAG